rnacentral:rRNA from 1 species
GAUGAACGCUGGCGGCGUGCCUAAUACAUGUAAGUCGAGCGAACAGAUGAGGAGCUUGCUCCUCUGACGUUAGCGGCGGACGGGUGAGUAACACGUGGAUAACCUACCUAUAAGACUGGGAUAACUUCGGGAAACCGGAGCUAAUACCGGAUAAUAUAUUGAACCGCAUGGUUCAAUAGUGAAAGACGGUUUUGCUGUCACUUAUAGAUGGAUCCGCGCCGCAUUAGCUAGUUGGUAAGGUGACGGCUUACCAAGGCAACGAUGCGUAGCCGACCUGAGAGGGUGAUCGGCCACACUGGAACUGAGACACGGUCCAGACUCCUACGGGAGGCAGCAGUAGGGAAUCUUCCGCAAUGGGCGAAAGCCUGACGGAGCAACGCCGCGUGAGUGAUGAAGGUCUUCGGAUCGUAAAACUCUGUUAUUAGGGAAGAACAAAUGUGUAAGUAACUAUGCACGUCUUGACGGUACCUAAUCAGAAAGCCACGGCUAACUACGUG